AGCUUUGCGCAGUGGCAGUAGCCAAUGAGGUCUAUCCAAGGCAGGAUUAUUGCUAAUUGAAAACUUUUCCCAAGAACA
ensembl:snRNA U4 U4 spliceosomal RNA